UUAAGUUAAGGUCUAAGAGCUGUCUUGGGUUGGCCUUUCUGUUAGAUUUGUGUGUGGGUUUACGUGUCUUUGCCAUAUUCUAGAUCAUUAUCUACGAAUAUUCUUAUAGUUAACAUUGCCGAUCAAGGAUAAAAACUAUCUUAUGAAGGAAAAAUAUAGAAAGUUAAGAUUCUCUAUCGGCUUACUUUAUCAGACGUGUAAUCAGAGUUUAUCUCGAUAACUUUAGAUUAGAUCAAAGAUAGGGGUUCUUUCUUUAGCUUUUGUCAGUUGUCAGGUCUUACAGAACCGAGAGAUAGUGACUUCCAUGUAGGAUCUUACGUGUGAACACGCCAAAGCAGGUCCCAUAAAUUAUUUUCUUGUUCAUUAAAUAGUUGGCCACAUACUGGCUUUUUUUCGCGUAAUAUAGUUUUCAAGAAUCUCUUUUCUUGAAGUAGGACAAUAAGAGAAUACAAUUACGUGGAGGGCUGCUCUUAAUUGAUAUUAAAUCCACCGUUAAUUUGAAAUUUUAAUUUUCUUUUCGGGAAUAAACGUGGAGGGAAAACAACCCUGCUGAUGUAAAAAAGUGGUGCUUUAUCGGUGAAGAAGAACAUCCAUUAGCUGCCUUGUGACGCAAACUUUUUACCAGUUCUAACCUCUUUCCAUCAACCUCCAAUAGCUUUCUUGACGUUCUUUCACUAUAUUUCUUGGUCACAAACUUAUAAGCCUUUUAGUUUAAUGUUAAUUAAUUCAUAUUCUCUACUUUUACAUACAUUUAUGCAUGCCAACGUAUAAUUGCUGAAGAGUUUCACUUCUGUGCGGUAUACGCAAUACGACUUUAUGACCAUAGAAAAAAAAUACUAUGACCACCAAAUGUUCUCAUGGUUGGGUAUUACACUAUCACUACAAUUUCUUCAUUUUAUUGGCAUGGAUGAUAUACAAUACUUCCAUGAAUUAUUUCACGCUUUUUCUCUUCUAAUUCACAUUAUUUAUUUAUAUGAUGCAGUUUAUGAACGAAAAAAUGAUCCAGUUUAUGAAAUUUUCAUGUUAUUUGGUGUUAUAGUUUGACGUAAUGGAAAAAAUGAUACUGACCUUUCAACUUGCCUUAGAAUCAACAAUACCCCUUUUGACUCUUAUGAGUUUUUCUUACUGCUGAAAAGAUUCUUUUCGGCAUUUUAUUGAAAUCAUUUUCCAAAACAAGAGUGAAACAUCAAAUUAUAUAUAUAUUUUUUUAAAAAGCAUCAAACAAAAUGUGAAUAGAACAAAAGCAUCAAACAAAAUGUAGACAAAAGAUAUAAUAAUGAAAAAAAUGCAUUGACCUACUUUAUAUAAUUAAAAACGUAUACUAUGAAUUCAAUAGGGGGCUUAAUUUCUCGUAUUAUAUAAGCAAAGAAGUUUGCAUCCAGCAAAGCCAAGAGCAACAAAAAAAGAAUCAAAUCAAAUUUAGAGAGAGCAAAAAAAAAAACACCAAGUAUCAAACCAAGAAGGUGUGUUUCUGAUCCUUCUCUGUUACUUGUUAUUUCAAUCUAAAUAUCAAACAUCUAUCCUUUUUAAGAUCCAUGGCAGCAAUAGAUAUGUUCAAUAGCAGCACAAAUCUCUCAGAUCCUUUCAAAGAAGAGCUCAUGAAAGUACUUAAACCUUUCACCAACUCUGUUUCUUCUCUUCCUCCAAUUCCAAACCCAAUCUUCGGUUUCAAUCAAACCACACCUCUCGGUCUGAACCAGCUCACACCUUACCAAAUCCACCAGAUCCAAAACCAGCUUAACCAGAGACGCAACCCCACCAUCUCAACCCUCUCCCCAAAGCCAGUGGCAAUGAAGAACGUGACAGCUCAGAAACUCUACAGAGGAGUUAGACAAAGGCACUGGGGAAAAUGGGUUGCUGAGAUCCGUUUACCCAAGAACCGGACCCGACUCUGGCUUGGAACUUUCAACACAGCUGAAGAAGCAGCCACGGCUUAUGACCGAGCUGCUUACAAGCUCCGAGGCGAGUUAGCGAGGCUUAAUUUCCCAUACAUCAGGCACGAGUUUGGUGAUAGCAGAUUCAAGGCUCUUCAUCCCUCUGUUGAAGCAAAGCUCGAGGCGAUUUGUCAGAGCUUGGGAAAAACAGAUCUUCUCCCGCCAAAAGCAGAGUAUGAAGAAAGUGAAUGUAGGUGGUCUUUGAGAGCUGAUGAGAGUUUGUUUUCUGAUGAGUCUCACGUGGGAUCUUCGUCGCCGGGUACGUUGUUGGAUUUUUCGGAUUCAGGGUUUGAUGAUGAGUGUGGGAGUUACGUGCUGGAGAAGUUUCCUUCUGUGGAGAUUGAUUGGGAUGCGAUUAGCAAAUUGUCCGAAUCUUAGGAGCCUGUCUUCGACUCGGUGUCUAUUGAAUGUCUCAUAUUAGUUAGUUUGUUAGUUAAUCUCUGCAACUGAAAUUUUUACAGUUGUAGAGAGACUUGUUUAAGGCUUUGUUUAUGCUAAAGAAGUCCUCUAUGUGUUUGGUCUAAAAGCUGGUUUAUGUUUUUUUUUUGUUCAGAAACCUUGUCAUUGACCAAUCAGAGAAGCUUUUGUGUAUUAUCAUAUUUUUAAGUUUUUAUUGAAUGUAAAUUAUUACUCUUUUAUUUUACGAUCUUAUGUUCAUUUCUUUUCUAUUUCUUCUAAAGAAAUCCUUUUAUAAAAAACAAAUUCAUGAAUAUUUAUCCACGAGAAUAUUUUGAAAGGUUUAUGUUGCCUUUGUGUUUAUUGUGGAAGGAAGAGGGUCAGAGAGGGGUCCAUAAUUGACAUAUAAGAACACAUAAACCACAGAGUUUGAUUCUUUAAGGUAAAGAAUCUCUGCAAUACAACAAAUUUGGUUUUUAGUUAAAAAAAAAACAAAUGUUAAAAAUGUUAAAAAUUAUGUAUAACUAAUUUAAGGAGGUGUAUUCAACUACUAAUUUUAAGUGACUGAUAUUAAAAUGACAAAUCUACUAUUAUUCAAACGUGGAUUAAAAAAAAAUUAAAAGUCUAGUGUUUGAACUUAUCAUUUAAUAAAAUACUCUGAAAUCUACUAUUAUUAAAAAAAAUAACUUGGAGAUUAUAAAAUAUUUUAGUUACUUCUAAAAUAUUUAAGAAAGGUUCCUUAGUUAUAAAAAUAAAAAUCUAUAUAAAAUCCUAGAAUUGACAAAAAUCACAUAAAAUUCUCAGAUUUGCCAAAAAAAUCAUCUAAAAACUUAUUAACAAUCAAACACUUUACAUUUCAUAUUCAAUAUCCUACUAUAUAAAAGGAGCUAAAUCAUUGAUUCCUAAGCCUAUCCACAUAUGCACAAAUAUUCUCCACCAACCAAUAUGCCAGGUCAUCACGAAGUGGGCUUGCAAUUAAAAAAAUAAUUCAACAAUUUGCAGCCCAUUAGACCCAUUUCCUAGCCCACUCCCGAGCCACUCUCUCAUAAGCAUAAUCCUGUGUUCUAAACAUCCCGUGUUAAAUUUUUUAAAACACUCAUAUCUUAGAAAUAGUUUAGAAAAUAUAUUUAUAUAAAUAUUUUUUUCUUGAAUAAUAUUUAAUUAUAAUUUUUUGUAUCUUUUUAACUUUUAUAGUAAAAACAUUAUUUUUAGAUAGCAACAAAAUAUAUAUAAGAAUUAUCUUAUUUUUAAAAUUUUUUAUAAUUUUAUUAUAUUAUUUUAGAAUCAAAUAUUUAAUAUUAAUAUAACAUAUAAAUUUUAUAUGAUUAAAAUAAAAUUCGUUUUUAAUUAUAUAUAAAAUUCAUUAAGGGUAUUGUUUUAAUUAACACAUUAGCGAAUCAGUUAGAAAUUAAUAAUAAAUCAAAAAUCUAUCUAAAAGUCUAAAACCUAAUAAAAUAUGACAAAUAAGAAAAACUAACUAAAUUUUAAUAUAAAAUAGAAAUUUAAUAUUAUUAAAAUAAAAUUCAUUUUUAAUAUAUAUAUAUAUAUAAUAUUAAUUAAGGGUAUUUUUUAAAUUAAUAAAUUAGUGACUUAGCUAAAAAUAAAUAAUAAAUCAAUAAUUUAACUAAAACCUAAUAAAAACAUGACAAAUAAGCAAAUUUACUAAAAUUAUGGAUAAUAUAAAAUAUGAUUGAUUCUUUAAUACAAAAUUAAAAUAAGAGUUUUGUUAAAUAAAACAUAAGUUUGCCGUAUCGGUCUUACAAAAAAAAAAUCAUUAAUAGUGUCGUAGGAAUUAUGUCUUUCCCAUUAACGAAUAAAAUUGAAGCAGUGUGUUGGAGGAUAGCUCAACGUAUAGACGAGAUUAUGGAGAUUGAUAUGGGAGUUGAGGUAACGGACACAAUUGUUCCUCCGUAAAAAAACGCUCCUGCUAGACAUCUUGGAUAAAUGAAAGAGACAUAUCUGGACUUGGUUUUGUGUUAAUGGAUGGUGACUUUCCAAUGUUGUUUGGAGCAAGGACCGAUAUACACGCACCAAAUCACCACUGGAAGCGGAAGCUGAAGGUUUACUAUGGGCAAUGCAAGUGAUACUGAAGUUUGGACACAGAGAGAUGGUCUUUCAAUCGACUGUGAACAACUGGUUAUAUCCAUUCAAAAGGAGGAAGAUUAGCAUGCGUUAGACUCGGAGCUCGACGAAAUACAGGCUGUAUCCAAAGAAUUUUCUGAACUUUCUAUUGCUUAUAUUCCUAGAUCUUUAAAAUUCCGUACGAAUAGCCUAGCAAAAGGUGUCCGAUCACACGCAUUUCGAUCAGCUUUUGUAAACUCUUUUGCACCAAGUUGGCAAGCCCCACAAGCUAGCAUGAGGGUGCAAAAAAAAGAAAAUAAAGUUGAAAGUGAAACUAAAUAUCCCAAUAAACAAAUUUAUCAGAAGUCCAUAUUUAUGUGGAUGUCUAUAUGAGAUAAACAAUUUUUUUAGACAAUUAUAGAAUAUAGUCACAAAAAUCAAUCUUAAAAUAUAUAAUUUAAAAAAACUAUUUAAACAAACAAUCAAAAUUUUCAAUAUUACACCAAAUAAGAAUAUAAAGACCAACUAUAUUCUCUUCGUGUAUAAUAUGUUGUGGUAAGAUUCGAAAAAAUUAACUUACUUUACAGUAAGGAAAAAUUAGAUUUUUAAUUCCAAAUUUACAAUAAAAACAUAACAUUUUAUAAAACUAAACAAUUGACAUAAUAGUACAAAAUACUAUCCGCGCGUAGCGCGGACAAGGACCUAGUAUCCCUCUAAAAGUAUAUACGUAGCCAGUAUAGUAUUAUUAUUAAAAUUAUACAGAUAAAAAUAACAAAACAGCCUUAUCCAACUCCAAGAUUCUGAUUCUUUUCUUUCCGCACAUACAGACAGUAUCCCACACGCCAAAAGUUGAAAUGGAGGUUUGUAAACUUUUAGUUCUUUAUAACUACUAAAUAUUUAUUUUAUACUGGCAUAUACUUGAAUAAACUAAUGUUGCAUAGAUAUAUUGAUCUAUAUGUUUAGUUCUUUUGAAAUUUAUUGAUAUAUAUUUGUUGGAAUCAUUAUACAAAAGUACCAUUAUAGGCCUUUUGGGCAUGGUAUAGCAGAAUUGGGGAUAAUUGGGCCAAAGUAUGGAUGAUAUACUACUAGUGUUUUUAGUGAGUAUGACCCAAAAAGAUUGGAUUCUGAUUCGAUUUGUAAACCCAGGCCCGAUAAGCUUUCAGAAAAAACAAUAUUUAUACUAAAAUUGGUCAGCCCAUUGAUGUAGGUACAAUUGAUUAAACAAAUUUCAUAAAUUAAUUGAAUGGUAUUUAGUGUUAAGAGAGAUUUUAAUUAUAUAAUAUUUAUUUAAUGUGGCUUAAUUAACAGUCAUAAAUUUUUGUAAUUUAUCUUUCUAAUAAUUUGGUUCAUAUUAUAAUUAAUUUGAUUUUUUUAUAAUUAGUGUUAAGCAUUUAUCUUUAAAUAAUAUAUAUUUUGAAAAUUUUCAUACUUAUUUUUGUUACUAUAUUUAUUGUACAUCAAUAAUAGCCAUUACAUUAAAAGUUAUAUAUAUAUAUAUAUAUAUAACUUUUAAUGUAAUGGCUAUUAUUGAAUUAUUAUGUUACAUAAAAAAACGCAAUAAUGUUUUAUUAUUUAUAUUUAUUUUGAUCAUUAAUUAUUUGAAUGUUUUAAUCAAUUAUAAUGUUCUAAUAAAUAAAUGAAUUUAAUUUGAAAACUUACAAAAAGGCUGGAUCCAAAGGAAAGAUUAUGUUUUAAUAAGAAAGAUUUCAUCAAUUGAUUUCUUUAUAUUUUCCAUCGCAUGCCAAAUAUAUAGCAUAUGCAGUAUAACCCCUAUCUUAUAUAUUAAAACAGAAGUCACAAUCUUGAUUCAUGUGUGAUUUUUUUUAAAAAUGGACCUAAUGGACCUAUUCAUAGAAAUUCAUACUACAUUUUAAUUCAGACUAAUAAUAAAUAGAAUUUUUAAAAUGUUUUAAUCAUAAUAUCUUUUGAUAUCUUUUCAUUUUAAAUAUAAAUAUAUUUAUUUUAAAAGUCUAACAAAUCUGUUUGAAAAGAUUUUUACAAGAUCUUCAUUUUCGAAAUUAUAUUUAAAUAUUUUCACUAAUUUCGAAAUUAGUUUAAAAUAUUAUUAUACAUUAAUAUAUUCAGUUAUAUAAAAUGAAACAUAAAAAAAUCUAUAAUAUUUUAUUUAUUAUAUAAUCAUAAUCAAUCAUAUUAAAAUAAAAUUAUUAUAUUGAGCUAAAUAAAAUUAUUAUAUUGAGCUAAAUAUAAUAAAAUUGUAUUAAAUUUAUAUAUUUAUAUAUUUUAUUUUCGUAAUUAUAAAAUAUUUAUGUUCAAAAAUAAAAUCUAAUAUGUUGGUAAGAUGGGUUAACAUUAUCAAACUAUAUAAUACAUGUAUAAAAAUUAACAUGUAUUUCUUUAAAGUUAAUAAUAUAAAAUCUUUGUAACUACUUUAAUCAUAAUAUAUUUUCAUUUUAAAUAUAAUAUAUAUUCAUAUAUUAUAUUUUAAAAAUUCUAAUAAAUCAGUGUAAUAUUUAAACAAUAACUUAAUGUAUUUUAAGUUAUCGUUUAGAAAUGAAAAUAAAUAAAUUAUAUCCUAUUUUAUCUACUUUUAUAGUCAUGAUCAUGUUAAAAUAUAAUUAUUAUACUAAAAUAAAUAUGAUAAAAUUAUAUUCAAUUGAUAAAUUUAUAAAUUUUAUUUUCAUAACUAUAAACUAUUUAUUUAAAAUAUAAUAUGAUGAUAGAACAGCUUAAAAUUAACAAACUAUAUAAUACAUGUCUAAAAAUUAACAUAUCUUACACUUUUAUAUAUACAAUAAUAAAUUAUCUAAAAUGAAUAAGCAUAAAAAUAUUGGUAAAAAGAAAUCCAGUUUUGAAAUACGGAUCAGAAUUUAGCCUAAAUUAAAUACAAAAUAUUUUUUAAAUAUAUUUUCUCAUGAAUAUAUUAAUUUGCUUAAUAACUAAAUGCAAAUACAAUAAGAUAAAUAUAUAAUAAGAAGUGGCAAAUACAUAAGGUUUAAACAAUUAAUUAAUUAUAACAUGUAAAUUAUAAAAUUAUUGUAUUUGAAAUAGUUAUAUAAAUAUUUAAGUAUAUGAUUAACAUUAAAAAUAUAUACCACUUAUGUUCUAAAACAAUAAUUUAUGUAUAAAAAAGUGAAAACGAACACCCGUGCGGUUGCACGGGUCAAAAUCUAGUAAAUUAUUAUUUCAUAAAUUAGCAGAAUUCUUAAAUCUUAAAUUAGAUCUGGUAUUUUUUAUAAAUUGAUCUCUCUAAAAUUAAUAAAAUAUUAUAAUCUAAAUGUGAUUAAUCUAUAUAAAUCUACUAUAUAUAAUUUCAUCCAGUUGGGAGUAGAUAUAUGAUUGAAGUGUUUGUAGUGUAGAUCUAGACGUGUAUACAGUAAUAUACACGUCAAACUUUAAAUAUAUGUGUUUAUAAUAUAUAUACACAUUAAUGUGAUAGAGGUACGUGCUUGGUCGAUUAAGGACAAGAUAAAGAGAACAUUAGAGGAUAUUUCAACUUUAUGAGUUUAGAUAAAAUAAUAAUGUUUUGUUUCUUAUAUAUCUAAUCAUAUAAAACAAAAGGGGGCUUAGGAUUAAUCUCUAAUGCAAGACACGUCGAAAGUGAACAACUCCAACGCGAAGCUUACUAUGAUCCAUUUCUAAUUCUUUACAAAUAUCACAAUCAGUUCAACUAGUAUCUGUUCAAAACCGUCGUACGAUUUCAUUUUGUAAUAUACACACAUGAUCUUUAAUGGAUUGUCUUUUCACGUUGUUAGAAUGGUUAAACAGUUGAUCAUUUUCUAAAAGAGAACUAAAAUAAUUCCGUGAUCGACAUCCCUAGCUACAUUUAUGCACUGUGUGGUUCGCGUGGUAUAGAUAUAUGUAUUUUUAGUGAUUAGAUUGGAUUCAAUAUUACAAUGAUAUGCUUUUGAGUUAUUUAAUUUGCGCGUUUAGCGGUACAAUGAAUUCAAUAUAGUAUAGACAUAAUUCACAUCGCGACAAUUCAGCUAUAGAUAUCAUACAAAUGGAGAUCUCAUUUAUAACCAGGUAAUUUCCUUUACGGAUAUUUCAUAACUAAAAGUAUAUAAGUAUAUAUAUAUAUAUAUUGAACUUCAUCGCAUGAAAACGAGCUGCGAUGAUUAACAUAUAUGCAUUUCAGAUACGUUUAAAGGAAGAUCAUAUCAACCUCAAAGCUUUAAUUAUCGAAAAGGUGUCGGUCCAUUAAAGGUCUGAUGAAGGCCAUGGAGAUAUAAAGAGAAGCCACCCAAGUUGUAGAUUGGCGACUCUUGGAGAUGAUAAAGAGUAACCUAAGACAUUUCCUUUUAACACAUAUAUCGAUGAUUAUAAAGUAAGAACGUGCUUGUUUUACUCUUUAGCGAAUUUUCUGCACUACAUAUUUAGCCCCAACACUUCUGAAAGGUUCUCAGUAAACCUUAAUAUAUAUCUCUGUUUUAUUUUAUGUGGUGAUGGUUGGAAUUGGUAGUACAUACUUGAUUUAAGAAAAUAAAAGUAUCCUAAAACAAUAUUGUGUGCAUUUGUUGAAGAAUAAUUUUACAUAGUACAUUUUAAACUAGUAUAUUUUUUGUAUAUCGAGAGUGAAGAAUCAAAUGUGACAUGAAAAAUAAGUUGUACGAGUUCAUUAUGAUCGUAUAUAUGUGCAUGUUCAUUUUUAUUUCCCGAACCUUAGCAAAUCGAUCAUUUCUAGAUAUUAUAAUUGAGCUAUUUAUAUAAUUAACAAACUAAUACAUAGCUUGUGCUUAAUUUAUUACUUUUAUAAAUAGUGGAAAAGGUCUCAAUGAUUGGGGCAUUUUGGCCUAAGAUUAUAUCAUUACACCAAUAUCAGAAGCCAAAAUCUUAGUUUAAUAGUAGCAUAUAGUAUCUAUGUGAUCUAUAAUAUUCUUCAUAUAUAGUAAUUACAGUGUUUAUUGCAUAUAUAGGUUCAUAUAAUGUAGCCGUGGAUCAACUCUACAAAAUAAAUUAAACGAUUUAGAAUGUUUUACUGGUUGGUUGGGACGCCAGGUAAAUUUAAUUAGAAUUUGGUGUCUAGAAUGAAAAUAUAUAGCAACUUGUUAUUAAAGAAACGAGAGCAACUUGAUGGAAUAGUGAAAUAUAUAUUGACAAAAAGAAUCGUUCCUUUUCUCCUUUCAUAGGCGACGUCCAUAUAGUGAUUUGUUAAUAUUCUCAAAUUAAAGGCUAUCAACUUUUUAUAUUCUUUUGAAAUUUAACAAAACCUAUCGUACAUAUAGAUUUUCAUAAAUUUCAUCACAACUAUAUAUUUGGUUUAUUUAUGCAAUAUAUUUGGUUUUACGGAAGAAAAGUAUUAAUUUUAUGGAAGAAAGUAUUAACCGGAAAGCAGGUAUAGAGGACCUGUGAACACCCAUGGACUAUCCCACGUGGCGAAUUCUGUCGAGGUUGCACGCUUGGGACCCACCAAUCAAGAGUUACGCCGAAAAGUUUGGAGAAGCGGUUGCCGUUAACAGUUUAGUCAAAGCCAUUGACUCAAUUGUCAAGAUUUUUAUUUUCUCUCCCAUUAUUUGUUUUGUUUUUUUAUAUUUCCAAAAAGAAAAGAAGGUCAGAUUUUUGAUAUUUAGGAUUUUCAUCAUGUUUUUUCUAACGGGGUUAUAAUUAUUCUAUGCCUUUUCCAUAAAGUACACAGUCCUGGAAUUUACUCGUUUGGUGGUUUACAAUAAGAGCUUGUCUCAUCCAAAAAUGUCAUGUGAUAUAAUUAUAUGGUCAAAGAAGUACUAUAAAAUAUGUCUGAUGCCUACGACAUUAUGCUUGGUUUUCUUAAAAGUGCUAACUUAUUGAAAAAGGAAUCGAUGUAAAUGUGGAUGAUGUCAAAUUGUCAAUCAUUAACAUGAAUCUUACUUGUUACAUAUCGAUAAUUAAUUGUCAUUAGAUUGUUUUAAUUACUUAUUUCGGAACUGUCUCCAGUAGUAUAAACUUAUAAUCUUGUUCCAAAUUUUUCUUUCGAUCAGACGUAAUUAACUAACCCAUCAUACCGCUUUAAUAUCAUCCGAUUUGAGGUAAGUAAGGAUUCGAUAAGAGAGGGUUAACAAAAAUGGGACAAUUAUUUGCAUAUGUACUACUGUGCCUCGUAGGGAUCCACAUGUUUGGUAGUGACACUCUCGAUUCGUUACAUGUGAUGUGUCGGUUCGGAAUUUUGCUUUUGAACAUUGCCUAAAUGCCAUUGCAAUUAGACGCAUAUAUUACUUUCAUGCAAUUCACACACACAAACUCACGUAUACCGGUAUAAAUAUAUGUAUCAUAUAAUGAUAUAUGUCAAUUUCUUGGUUAUUUAAUUUUUAGAAAAAUAUAUCCAAAUAGCACUAAUUCAUGUUUUAUGACAAAAUUAGCACAUAAAAAAUCUCACGUUUUAUCAAAGAUAAAAAAAAUAUUUCUUAUUUUGAUUUAGAUUUUAGUUACUAAGGGUUAGGAUUUAGAAUUCAGAAUUUUGAUUUAGAUUUUAUCAUUGUAUGCUAUUUUGGAUUUUUAACACUAUUUUGGAGAUUUUUCCUAAUUUUGUAUACUAAGUUUAGGUUUGUUCAAGCUAAGUAUUACGACGAGAAAACUUUUUUAUGCAUUGUAUAUAUGUGCUUUAUAAUUCGCCAAGCAGAUCAUACAAACGUUGGUUAAGAAUAUCAAAUUUAAUUCAAAUUUUAGGUGUUAAUUACUUUUGGAGACUGAUGAUUUAUGUUUUAUGGACCUGUCAGAAGUAAUAUCAAAAUGUGAUAUUAGUUGUUUUUAUGUAUGUGAAACGUUUGAACUUUUCAUGUUAUCUAUUCUAGGAGUGUGAUUGGAUGUACCUAUAUAUUAGAGUAAAAUUUUACUUUAACUUUAGUUUUUACUCUCAUUUUCACUUCUUUCCACUAAUCAAGUGAAUAAUAUUUCAACCAUUUUACUCAAAAAUUUGAGAAAACUCAACAAAAGUAGAGUAAGAUUUAUCUCCACUUGUUUAAACUGAAAACAUGUACGUACUCCCAUUUUCUAAUUUCUGUCCUCUUUUUCCCAUUUUUUUCACCAUUUACUCUUGUAUUAACCAAUCACGCCCUAAGUUGAUCAAAAAAAAACCAAUCACACCCUAAAUAUGCUAAUUAAAAGUUCUACGCAAAUGUAAACCGAACUAUUUGAAAAGAAUGGUCACGAGAAUAAUCUUAGACUCUUUUAGUCCCACAAUCAUGUUUUUCAUGAGGUUUCCUUCUCCUAGAAGUCACUAAGAACCCUAUUCAGAUUCUUCAAAUUUUCAUAAUUAAAUCCUGAGCUAAGCAUACGCGCGGGGGCAUGCAGGUUUAAAUAUAUCAAUGAAAUGUUCGAUCAACUUGGUUGGUUAAUUGAUUUUAAUACUCGUAUACGAUCCAUAAUCGAUUCUGCAAAUCAUUCUUGGAUAAUUUAUUGGAUCGAAACUGACGACGGAAUAAACCCGAAUAUAUGCUUUGCACACAACUGUGAUUCGAACUCUCGAGGAAUCUCUAUUAGUGAUGACUGCUUACCCACGUGGUAUUUAAAAAAAAAUUCAACAUCUAUAUAGUCUAUAGACUAAUAGCUAUUAGCUAACAGAAAUUAUUAAUGGAAAUGUUCGAUGCAACUACGAGACACUUGUCAUUUUAUAAAAUUACAUAUUAGCGGGCAUGAUUGGCUGAUGCACCACUAAAGUCCUUAUUCGUAAAUCGUAACCGUUAAAAUAAUGAGCUAACAUGAUUAUUUUGUUUAAUAGAAAAUUCUUCAAUUCAUUUUGAUUUUUUUUUUAAAUUGCGGAACAAUGUAAUAGAAUAUGGGGUUUCGAUUUUAAUAGUACUCCGAAUUAGAUGAUAAAUAUGGUUGCCUAAUCUUUAUUUUUUAUAAUGUACAACACAUUUAUAAUAAGGCGAAUUAAUAAAGAAAAAUAUAGAACGGUCGAUAUCCCCAGAGUUUCCAAGAGAGCUAAUCUAACUCAAGGAGUUAGGAUAUGCGUAGAUGUAUUUACUUCACAUGUAUCUCACCAUAAGAAAAUAUUUUGUAUGAAUACAUCUUUUGAUGGAAUCAAACAGUAAAACCUUUUAAAAGUAUGUGUACUACAGAAUUAGACUAAUUAACAAUAUAGUAUUUCUAAGUUAGUAUAUAAUAUACCAACACUCACUCAUUAUUAAUUAGAACUCAUGAUUUAUUGAAAAAAAACAAGUAAACUAAGAAAAAAAUUUACCAGCAGACUAGCAUAUGUUGAAAUUUUAUGUAUUUUGUAAUUUUCAUAAACCUUCCAAAAAAAUUGCAACUUUACAAUUUAAUGCAUAAUAUUAUUUUGUUAAUAUUGCAACAAAAAAAUAGAAGAAACUGAGAAAGCAUAUGGUGUAGUAAUGGAAGGGGACCACGUAGCAGUUGCUGGGAACGCUGCAGCGCGAAGUUAACUUAACGAUCGGUAAGAGCGGGAAAGGCGGAAAGCGCUUUGUAGGCCCCACAGUCGAAUGGGUUCCAGCGUUCAGACACACCGCAAUAUCUGGUUUUCCUUUUUCUUUUUUAGUUAAGUAAAAAUAUUGCCCAAACAUUAAAAGUUUUAUGUUUUAUUUUCCUAUAAUAAUUUGCAACUAUAAAUUCAGACCAUACCACACUUCAGCCUCUGUCUCUAUCAAGCCCACACACACACUUACUGAUUUACAAUUUCACAACUCAAAUCUCUUUCUCUUUCGGCUCAUAUUUGCAAACAGAAACAAUGGGUACGUAAGUUGUUCAGUUUGUUAGAUAAUACGUAAAAAAACUUUUAUAUAGUUCAUAUGUCCUCAUCUGUUUUUAUGUUACUUUCAGUAGGAUUCGUUGAAGAAAACACAAAACAUAUGGAAAAAGAAACAGGAAACAUAUCAAACACGGAUGUAACGACGCUGAAGAAGAAAGUUCUUCAAGAUCUUAGUAUCAACAAUGGAGGAGGAUUUGUCAAUUCAUGGGUUGAUUCCAUGAGGGCUUGUUCUCCUACUCAUCUCAAAUCUUUGAUGAAACAAAGCUCUUGGCUCGUACGUAUAUCAUUCAGUGAUCAUCACGAUUUUAUAUCUGCUUAUCUACUCUCUUAUAAUAGACGAGGGUUGUAUAAUUUUUGUAGACAGAGCAUCCAUCAGCUUUAGAUAUGUUCGAAGAGAUUCUUCAUGUUUCUGAAGGAAAACAAAUCGUUAUGUUCUUGGAUUAUGAUGGCACUUUAUCCCCCAUUGUUGAUAAUCCAGAUCGAGCUUUCAUGUCUAAGAAGGUUCAUUUCUAAACCUAUAUAUAUAAACAAUAGAAGAAAUCUAAUUAUUCAAAAAGAAAAUAUGUUUUACUUAUUCUGUUUUUCGGUCUGAUUUUUAGAUGAGAAGAACAGUAAGGAAACUAGCAAUUUGCUUUCCGACUGCCAUAGUUAGUGGGAGGUGCAGAGAAAAGGUAUUUUAAAUUUUAAAGUAGCGCGAUUAAUUAUUAGUCAUGACUAAAUACUGAAUCUAAAUACAACAAUGACAAUAUUCAGGUUUAUAAUUUCGUGAAAUUAACUGAGUUGUACUAUGCUGGAAGUCAUGGCAUGGACAUCAAGGGACCAGCGCAAGGGUCCAAGUAUAAGGAAGUAAGUUUUUUUUUCUAUAGUGUUGAUCAAUUGAGUCUGUUGACGUAAAUAAACCAUUAAUAUUUUUCUACUUUAGAUUUUUUUCUUAUAUAUUUCUCAUUUUCAAGUGUUAUUAUGAAAAUUACAGGGUAAAUCUCUUCUUUGCCAACCAGCUACAGAGUUCCUCCCCAUGAUCGACGAGGUCACAUUCGCCUUCAAGAUCCAGUCUCAUAUAUAUAUAAUAAGAAAAAGCUACUUUAUUGUUACUUACAUUAUUUUAAAUGUUUUUGUGCAGGUUUAUCAAAAAUUAGUGGAGAAAACAAAAGUAACUCCUGGAGCGAACGUAGAGAACAAUAAGUUUUGUGCCUCUGUUCACUUCCGACGCGUAGAUGAGAAAGUACGAUAAUAUUCUAUUUAUUGUUCUAUUUAAUAUUCUAUUAUUACUGUGACAAAAAAAUAAAAUGAGGCGAUUAAUUAAUUUUUUUUCUUUUCUUUUUGAUCAAAUAAUUAAUUAAUUUAUAUAUUGACAGAACUGGAGUGAUCUGGCUAAUCAAGUUGGAUCAGUAAUUAAGGAAUACCCUAAACUCCGUAUUACUCAAGGAAGAAAAGUAAGAUAUUAAUAUUGUUUACUUAAUGGUUUUAUGUUUACUUUAUUAAUGGGUUAUGUUUUGGUAUAAUCGUUCAGGUUUUGGAGAUUCGUCCUAUCAUUAAGUGGGAUAAAGGCAAAGCACUAGAGUUUUUAUUAGAGUCACUUGGUAAAAUCUUCACCAACUAAUUAAUUAUGAUCAGUAACAUGACUACUGUUGAGAUCAAUAGUAUUAAUUAAAAUUAAUAUUGGCCUGCGUAGGGUAUGCUAAUUGUACUGACGUUUUCCCCAUUUACAUCGGCGAUGAUCGCACAGACGAAGAUGCAUUUAAGGUAUAUAUAUAUAACAUCGUAAUUACUGUAAUAUUCAAAUUAAAUCGUUAUUGUUCUUUUGCCCAAGAAAAAAAGUUAUUUUCAACGAUCUAAGUAAAUUUGAUUCAACUGAUGUUGUAGAUAUUAAGAGACAAAAGACAAGGUCUUGGCAUUCUUGUAUCCAAAUUUCCGAAGGAGACUAAUGCGUCUUAUUCUCUGCAAGAGCCUGAUGAGGUAUUAAGUUUGUAGUUCGACCUAUGUUAUUAAGUUCCUAUUAAAUAAUUUACAGUUCCUUAAACUGUUCUUUAUUGUGCAUAUGUCAUUAACUGACCACACCAUUUUUAAAUUAUUCACAGGUUAUGGAUUUCUUGCAACGUCUAGUGGAAUGGGAACAACUGAGAUCUGGCGCAUGAUGAGAGCUAUAAGUACAUAUAUAUAUAAGAAUGAAAUCUUUUUUAAUAACUUGUUAAUCUAGUUUUUCCCUAUUGUACUCACCGUAUCUUUGACAAACAAAGAAAACAAAUUGUACUCAACGCGUAUGUAUAAAAUCUUAUUACUAAUUGUUGUCAAUUCUUAAAGAACAUAGUUUACAUAAUUGCGAUUAGUUUUGUACUCCCACUGUUUCUAAAAGUAGAAUUUUCUAGAGUUAUUUUUUGUUCCAAAAUAAUAGAUUAUUUUAAAUUUUAAAAUAUUUUUAAUAGUUAAUAUUGAUAAAUUGUAUGCUUUAAAAAAAAAUUGAAAAUAUUUGAAUUGAUUAAAUACUAUUGAUUGAUGGUUACUGGGAAAUGUAGAGUAAAAUAAAUAAUAAAUUUAAUUGUAAACAUUUAUUAUAUUCUUAAUAUGCGUGAAUACUCUAUAAAAUCUUUCUUUCAUAAACGUAAGGAGUAUAAUUUUUUUGAGCAUGUAUAUAAAUACUUGACAUAUAUCAUCUAAAUUUUAUCAUGAUUCUAAAAAUGAAAUGAAACUAUAAUGGUAUAAGUAACUCUAUCAUAUCAGUAUUAAAUUAUAUUUCAGUCUUUAAUAAGUUUUUUUGGAUUUUAAGUUCAAAAUAAUGACAAUUAAUCAAAGUACACAAAUUCUAUCAGAUAUUGAUGUAAUUAGCACGGUUCAGUUCAGGGUUGAAUGUUUGAUAAUAGUCAAUCAAAUAUACUACUAACUUACUUUUAAAUCAAAAUUUUGAGUUUUUAUAUUCUUAUUCUGAUUCUCCAUUUCAUAUUUAAAAGAGUAAACCUAAAAUAUCUGAACUAAAUAAAAAAUCGGUUUCUAUUAUAUUGCCAAAUUAGAAUUUUGAAUAAAAAUUGGUUUUAAAAUUUUGGCGGUGAGAUGCUUCUUUAUUUUGAUAGAUAUAUACUAUCAAUUUAUACUUUUCAAAAUACUUUUUAUUUUUGUUUUUGUUUUUGAGUAGGUUAUAUAAUCGACUGCCAGUUAAUAUUCUUAACCAUGUUUUGGGAGUUAUUUUUCAGGUUUUAAUUUUAAUGUUUGUAUAUUUUAUUUUUAAAAAGUGAUAAAUCUUUGUAAAAUGAUUAAAUCACACAUGUACACCAUUUAUUUGUUUUCAUUUCUCUGAUUAUAUAUAUACUAUUAGGAAAUUUUAAACUUUAAACUACAUACACAUUAGUUUUUACAAAACAUAAAUUAUUAAAAAAAUUAUUUGAAAACCAUUUUCUAUUUAUUUAAUUCCUUAACUCAUUGUUAUUUGUUGGUAAAUUUUUGAUACUUUCCAAAAAAAUUAGAAUUUAGACAGUCUAAUAUUAAUAUUUGAAUUGUUAUAGGGUCACCAUCCCAUGUGGUCAAUUCAAUAUUUUGACUCUGAGAGAAGAUGCAAAAUAAGACUUUUCAAUAUUUUCCUUAUAACUAAAUGUAAGGAAAAAACAACUAGCUCUAGUUAAUUAACAUGUUCAAAGUACCAACUUGAUUGACUUCUUAUAUCCUAGACGUGGACCUAAUUAUAAGUGUGUUUGAAGUCAUCAGAGAUUAGGAAGAAAACAUUUUGUUAAUGACUGUAGGUAAUUAGAUAAAUAAUUAUCGUUAUUUAGGCUUUGAUUAGGGUUUCGUCUUACGUUAUUGGCUGUCAACUUUAGAACAAACCAUUAGUGAUACUACACCCAUUUCUCCCGACAUGCCACAAGAAGAUCGUUGUGAGAUUUGGUGGCGUAUUAAUUUAUAGCUUUAACUAUACGAUCCAUUAACUAGUUUAAAUGUUAAAGCUCCAAAAUUGUUAUCGCAGUAAUAUUUUAAUCUAUAUGAAUUAUGAAGUGCGUAUACAUUUUAAACGACCCUAAGUUCUUAGGGAGACUCCUAUGCUACAGAAAAAUAAUUGAGAAUUAAGCCAAUUGGCUCGUGAACUGUGAAGCUUGUCUGAGAUUUCCAAUCACACCAUCAUUGACACGUGUUAUCACUAAAUUAACUAAUGUAUUUUCUUAUUCAAACUAUUUAACAAACCUCGGAGUAUUUAAUGUAUAUCGACUACACAAACCCUAAUUUGCUUUUAUUAAUAAGGGAAGCAACUCUAGAUCCGAAUCUUUCAUAGAAUCAUAUGUGUCAUAAAUCAUAAUGCGUCAGAGAAUUGAGUCGUUUGGCAAUGUUCUGUAAAAUAUAAAAACAUAGUUACGAUAAAUUUCGAACUCUCGCCAACUAUUUUACCAAAUAAUUAGAGUUUAGCAAGGAAAUUCUAUCGUAUUCUUUUUAAAAUUGGUUACUCAUAAGAAAUUUGGAAAACAGAAUUACCUAUUUGUAGAAUUUAAAAUAUGAAAAAUGCAAAACCGAGGACAAGGUUUGAGACUUUGACCUUAUAUUAUAUAUGUCCACUAUGAUUAAAUCAAGCAAUAUUAAUAAGUACUCCUUCCGUUUUUUAAUAUAAGUCGUUUUAGAAGAAAAAAAUUUGUUUCAGCUUUAGAUAUGUUCGAAGAGAUUCUUCAUGUUUCUGAAGGAAAACAAAUCGUUAUGUUCUUGGAUUAUGAUGGCACUUUAUCCCCCAUUGUUGAUGAUCCAGAUCGAGCUUUCAUGUCUAAGAAGGUUCAUUUCUAAACCUAUAUAUAUAAACAAUAGAAGAAAUCUAAUUAUUCAAAAAGAAAAUAUGUUUUACUUAUUCUGUUUUUCGGUCUGAUUUUUAGAUGAGAAGAACAGUAAGGAAACUAGCAAUUUGCUUUCCGACUGCCAUAGUUAGUGGGAGGUGCAGAGAAAAGGUAUUUUAAAUUUUAAAGUAGCGCGAUUAAUUAUUAGUCAUGACUAAAUACUGAAUCUAAAUACAACAAUGACAAUAUUCAGGUUUAUAAUUUCGUGAAAUUGACUGAGUUGUACUAUGCUGGAAGUCAUGGCAUGGACAUCAAGGGACCAGCGCAAGGGUCCAAGUAUAAGGAAGUAAGUUUUUUUUUCUAUAGUGUUGAUCAAUUGAGUCUGUUGACGUAAAUAAACCAUUAAUAUUUUUCUACUUUAGAUUUUUUUCUUAUAUAUUUCUCAUUUUCAAGUGUUAUUAUGAAAAUUACAGGGUAAAUCUCUUCUUUGCCAACCAGCUACAGAGUUCCUCCCCAUGAUCGACGAGGUCACAUUCGCCUUCAAGAUCCAGUCUCAUAUAUAUAUAAUAAGAAAAAGCUACUUUAUUGUUACUUACAUUAUUUUAAAUGUUUUUGUGCAGGUUUAUCAAAAAUUAGUGGAGAAAACAAAAGUAACUCCUGGAGCGAACGUAGAGAACAAUAAGUUUUGUGCCUCUGUUCACUUCCGACGCGUAGAUGAGAAAGUACGAUAAUAUUCUAUUUAUUGUUCUAUUUAAUAUUCUAUUAUUACUGUGACAAAAAAAUAAAAUGAGGCGAUUAAUUAAUUUUUUUUCUUUUCUUUUUGAUCAAAUAAUUAAUUAAUUUAUAUAUUGACAGAACUGGAGUGAUCUGGCUAAUCAAGUUGGAUCAGUAAUUAAGGAAUACCCUAAACUCCGUAUUACUCAAGGAAGAAAAGUAAGAUAUUAAUAUUGUUUACUUAAUGGUUUUAUGUUUACUUUAUUAAUGGGUUAUGUUUUGGUAUAAUCGUUCAGGUUUUGGAGAUUCGUCCUAUCAUUAAGUGGGAUAAAGGCAAAGCACUAGAGUUUUUAUUAGAGUCACUUGGUAAAAUCUUCACCAACUAAUUAAUUAUGAUCAGUAACAUGACUACUGUUGAGAUCAAUAGUAUUAAUUAAAAUUAAUAUUGGCCUGCGUAGGGUAUGCUAAUUGUACUGACGUUUUCCCCAUUUACAUCGGCGAUGAUCGCACAGACGAAGAUGCAUUUAAGGUAUAUAUAUAUAACAUCGUAAUUACUGUAAUAUUCAAAUUAAAUCGUUAUUGUUCUUUUGCCCAAGAAAAAAAGUUAUUUUCAACGAUCUAAGUAAAUUUGAUUCAACUGAUGUUGUAGAUAUUAAGAGACAAAAGACAAGGUCUUGGCAUUCUUGUAUCCAAAUUUCCGAAGGAGACUAAUGCGUCUUAUUCUCUGCAAGAGCCUGAUGAGGUAUUAAGUUUGUAGUUCGACCUAUGUUAUUAAGUUCCUAUUAAAUAAUUUACAGUUCCUUAAACUGUUCUUUAUUGUGCAUAUGUCAUUAACUGACCACACCAUUUUUAAAUUAUUCACAGGUUAUGGAUUUCUUGCAACGUCUAGUGGAAUGGGAACAACUGAGAUCUGGCGCAUGAUGAGAGCUAUAAGUACAUAUAUAUAUAAGAAUGAAAUCUUUUUUAAUAACUUGUUAAUCUAGUUUUUCCCUAUUGUACUCACCGUAUCUUUGACAAACAAAGAAAACAAAUUGUACUCAACGCGUAUGUAUAAAAUCUUAUUACUAAUUGUUGUCAAUUCUUAAAGAACAUAGUUUACAUAAUUGCGAUUAGUUUUGUACUCCCACUGUUUCUAAAAGUAGAAUUUUCUAGAGUUAUUUUUUGUUCCAAAAUAAUAGAUUAUUUUAAAUUUUAAAAUAUUUUUAAUAGUUAAUAUUGAUAAAUUGUAUGCUUUAAAAAAAAAUUGAAAAUAUUUGAAUUGAUUAAAUACUAUUGAUUGAUGGUUACUGGGAAAUGUAGAGUAAAAUAAAUAAUAAAUUUAAUUGUAAACAUUUAUUAUAUUCUUAAUAUGCGUGAAUACUCUAUAAAAUCUUUCUUUCAUAAACGUAAGGAGUAUAAUUUUUUUGAGCAUGUAUAUAAAUACUUGACAUAUAUCAUCUAAAUUUUAUCAUGAUUCUAAAAAUGAAAUGAAACUAUAAUGGUAUAAGUAACUCUAUCAUAUCAGUAUUAAAUUAUAUUUCAGUCUUUAAUAAGUUUUUUUGGAUUUUAAGUUCAAAAUAAUGACAAUUAAUCAAAGUACACAAAUUCUAUCAGAUAUUGAUGUAAUUAGCACGGUUCAGUUCAGGGUUGAAUGUUUGAUAAUAGUCAAUCAAAUAUACUACUAACUUACUUUUAAAUCAAAAUUUUGAGUUUUUAUAUUCUUAUUCUGAUUCUCCAUUUCAUAUUUAAAAGAGUAAACCUAAAAUAUCUGAACUAAAUAAAAAAUCGGUUUCUAUUAUAUUGCCAAAUUAGAAUUUUGAAUAAAAAUUGGUUUUAAAAUUUUGGCGGUGAGAUGCUUCUUUAUUUUGAUAGAUAUAUACUAUCAAUUUAUACUUUUCAAAAUACUUUUUAUUUUUGUUUUUGUUUUUGAGUAGGUUAUAUAAUCGACUGCCAGUUAAUAUUCUUAACCAUGUUUUGGGAGUUAUUUUUCAGGUUUUAAUUUUAAUGUUUGUAUAUUUUAUUUUUAAAAAGUGAUAAAUCUUUGUAAAAUGAUUAAAUCACACAUGUACACCAUUUAUUUGUUUUCAUUUCUCUGAUUAUAUAUAUACUAUUAGGAAAUUUUAAACUUUAAACUACAUACACAUUAGUUUUUACAAAACAUAAAUUAUUAAAAAAAUUAUUUGAAAACCAUUUUCUAUUUAUUUAAUUCCUUAACUCAUUGUUAUUUGUUGGUAAAUUUUUGAUACUUUCCAAAAAAAUUAGAAUUUAGACAGUCUAAUAUUAAUAUUUGAAUUGUUAUAGGGUCACCAUCCCAUGUGGUCAAUUCAAUAUUUUGACUCUGAGAGAAGAUGCAAAAUAAGACUUUUCAAUAUUUUCCUUAUAACUAAAUGUAAGGAAAAAACAACUAGCUCUAGUUAAUUAACAUGUUCAAAGUACCAACUUGAUUGACUUCUUAUAUCCUAGACGUGGACCUAAUUAUAAGUGUGUUUGAAGUCAUCAGAGAUUAGGAAGAAAACAUUUUGUUAAUGACUGUAGGUAAUUAGAUAAAUAAUUAUCGUUAUUUAGGCUUUGAUUAGGGUUUCGUCUUACGUUAUUGGCUGUCAACUUUAGAACAAACCAUUAGUGAUACUACACCCAUUUCUCCCGACAUGCCACAAGAAGAUCGUUGUGAGAUUUGGUGGCGUAUUAAUUUAUAGCUUUAACUAUACGAUCCAUUAACUAGUUUAAAUGUUAAAGCUCCAAAAUUGUUAUCGCAGUAAUAUUUUAAUCUAUAUGAAUUAUGAAGUGCGUAUACAUUUUAAACGACCCUAAGUUCUUAGGGAGACUCCUAUGCUACAGAAAAAUAAUUGAGAAUUAAGCCAAUUGGCUCGUGAACUGUGAAGCUUGUCUGAGAUUUCCAAUCACACCAUCAUUGACACGUGUUAUCACUAAAUUAACUAAUGUAUUUUCUUAUUCAAACUAUUUAACAAACCUCGGAGUAUUUAAUGUAUAUCGACUACACAAACCCUAAUUUGCUUUUAUUAAUAAGGGAAGCAACUCUAGAUCCGAAUCUUUCAUAGAAUCAUAUGUGUCAUAAAUCAUAAUGCGUCAGAGAAUUGAGUCGUUUGGCAAUGUUCUGUAAAAUAUAAAAACAUAGUUACGAUAAAUUUCGAACUCUCGCCAACUAUUUUACCAAAUAAUUAGAGUUUAGCAAGGAAAUUCUAUCGUAUUCUUUUUAAAAUUGGUUACUCAUAAGAAAUUUGGAAAACAGAAUUACCUAUUUGUAGAAUUUAAAAUAUGAAAAAUGCAAAACCGAGGACAAGGUUUGAGACUUUGACCUUAUAUUAUAUAUGUCCACUAUGAUUAAAUCAAGCAAUAUUAAUAAGUACUCCUUCCGUUUUUUAAUAUAAGUCGUUUUAGAAGAAAAAAAUUUGUUCCAAAUUAUAUGUCGUUUUCGGUUUUCUAUGUAAAAUUUAUUAACAAUUAAUGUUGUAUAACCAACUGUAAUAUAUCUUAUAUUUUUCUAUUGGUUGAAUUGUGGUUAGGUAAAUAAUUAAUGAUGUUUUUGUUUAGAAAAUAUAAGAAAUUAAUGGUUUUUUUAAUCUACGUGCAUAGCUGUAAAACGACUUAUAUUAAAAAACGGAGGGAGUAUGUACUAUCAUUAUUAUUAUUUUGGCUUAAACACUUUUUCCUACUCUGGCUUAAGAAAAAAAAACCCUAUUCCAUUGGGUUAGGAAUUUCAACUAAGAAAAAGCAUAGGUUAACAAUGCAUGACUCUAAACAAUAUCUUAAAACUUGUUGGAAAGAAAAAAAGUUAGUAGUGAAGAGUUGGAAUCCACCAGAAAAGGUGAGAUAGAUUCUCUAUAAUUUCACCUUUUAAACUUUAAUUUCUACAACUAUGUCUUUUGAAAAAUAAAUAUCUCAGGCUCCAAUUAUUGACCGACUAAAAUUCAUAAUCCUAGAAACACGAUAAUAGUAGUAUUCGACCAAUUAUUGUUCGCCGUAAUUUUCUAAGUUCGUAGACCUUUUCUUUUACACAUAGGCCAAUCUUAAGAGAUUUAUUCAUUCAAGAAAGUAUGAAAAUAAUGCAUGCAUUCUUGUAAAUUAUAGUUUGAUAUCAAGUGAAUGCAAGCGUACUGAAGCUAACGUGCUUCACUUUGACAUAAAUAAAUUGGAAAUUUCGGGCAUUACUUUCCUUGUAAUAAUAAUGUUAGCACUUUAACUCAAUAAAAACAUAGCCGAGAUUAAAUUUCUAAGGAACCUGCCCAAAUCGACUAUUCUCCAAAAAGUUCGACGUAUAUAUAUAUAUAAAUAUUCCACGAAUCGUAUUUCUUGUUAAAUGUAAUAAUCUUUAAUGUUUUAAUGAAAUAUAUUUAAAGAAAUAUGUGUAAAGACGAAACACAUAGAAAGUUUCCUAAACUUGUAAUAAGUAAAACAAUAAGCAAUUAAUCAAAACAAUAAAAAUUAGGUAAAUGAACCCUUCAAUUAAUUAAAUCCAAGACCAGCAAGACUUGCGUACUUAUGUAUUAUAUAAUACCUCAUUGGAUGUAUCUACAAUGUAAAGAAAUUAUAUAUUAUAGUUGUUCAUUAGAAACCCCAAGAACAGUUCACAUGACCAAGAUUCCUUUUUUCUUGAACCAUCUGGGAUCAUCUUAAGGUGUUCUUAUGAAUGACUUUCUAACACGUGUUCUCUGAAUGUUGUGUUCAUACGCAUACCACAUCUAAUAUAUAAUAUAUAUGUGUGUAUGGGAAGUUCCAAACUCUUUGGCAGCAUGUGGAAGCAUGUGACUCAGAUGCCCUCAUUAUAGGGAGCAGGACUUAUGUGUCGAUAUUUUACUUGGACAAUCUUCUCUAACUUGUUAUAAUUAUUUGUUUACAAAGUCUAAAUGAUUUAGUGAAUGGUUGAUGGGCUUUAAACUAAUUAAAUCAAGGGAAAUAAGAAAGUAAUACUUUUAUUUAAGGGGGAAUACGGUUAAAGAAAGUACAAAAACCAUAAAAAGAAACAUAAAUAAGAGAUGGCAAGAACCAUGCGUUCCAACGAGACCAUGUGGAAGUGUAGGAGAAAAAGUUUGUAUUGUUCUUUUUAAUUUCCGGCGUUUAACUUGUAUCACCAACCACUGGUCUCCAAAUGGGAUAGAAAUUUUGAUCACCAAUAAAAUUAUAUGAAGAACAAAACAUGUCAAUUGUAUUAAUUUGUUUAUAAAAAUGAUUUUCGAAUAAGAUGAGUAUGAGGCUGUGGAUUUUGUACACACAAGAUUUUUCUAGGUGAUCAUCAUAUGAUUUUUUUUCCUUUUAUUAGACACGUUAGCCGGUGGCUCAAAGUAGUUCCACUGCGCAACUAUUUUUUUUAUAAACCUCGCCCAUUUAUGCAUCUUCAGUGUAAAUGGCCAAUUUGCCUUGGCUGUUGAUAUCCACUAUCUAGUUCCACUUAGGGGUUGAUUGGUAAGUGUUGUAAUUUCAUUUUUUGACUGUAGAAAUAUUGUUGUGGUUUUUAUUGUUUUGGCUUUGGAUUUUUAAUUUUUAAAAAUCUUUAAAUUUGGACUAUAAGUUUUUGUCUCUCCAGAGAAAUUGUAAAGACAUAAAUUCAAAGAAGUGUCGUGGAUUUUAUAAAAUGGCUGUGAGCUUUAGAAAAAAAUAGAAAUCAAGAUAGUGUAGAAUUAGUGCUCUAGAAAAAAUGAGGCUGUAGAGAGCAUUCACAGCCACUACCAAUCACACCCUUAUUCGCUAAUUAAAGCUUAAUGGGCUGUUGUGGUAUGUGGUUAACUAGCAUAAUACCGAUUCCAAAAUCCAUUGCACUAGCUAUGGCAGUAUACUAUGGUGACCAUAUCUGAAUGUAUUCCCAUUCGUGUUGCCAAUAACUUAUUUGAAUAUAGUACUUAUUUUAGAUAACUGCUUGUUUAAGAGCUAAAUAUAAAACCAACAAUACACAACCAUCAGAAAAAAGGCAUUGUCGAUGGUCAAAUCAACAGUCUCGAAACAAAAGCAUGACCACAGAUAUUUAUCAAACAGGCUUCACUUCACAACGCAAGAAAACAUACGAUUUAGGAACCGUAAGGACAACACUAGCCCAUUCAACCUUUCCCCAAACUUCCUCAUCGUUGUUGCGCCUUUCAAGCGCAAUCACCGCACACCAAAUGUUCUUGUUUUGCCGACGAGGCGGAGCAAACUUUCCCCACAAGAUCAACAGUUUUCCGCCGUAGUUAGCUAUUUCAACAAAAUAACAACGACGAUUCCCAUUCAAUGUAGCCAAACCCAUAACAGCUUUCCAUUCAUUAUGCUUUAUGUCAUACCACAAGCAACUUUGUCUACCACAUUGAUACCUUACGUUAUCUAUCUCACACUCACUUUCGAUCAAAAAUGCUUCUGGAACAUCCCAUUUACCUUCUUUCGGAUCAUAAACAUAAUCCAUCUCCUCAAUGCCCCUAACGCAAAUCUUUCCUAGUUUCACCUCCACUUUCUUAAUCAAAGAUACACGUAGCUCAGCUCCAGGGUCAGGUAAGGGUUCCCAUGUUUGAGUCUUUGGAUCGAAAACCUCAGCCCAAUUCGUGGAUUCAUCUGCAUGACAACCUCCCAUCACGUAAAUUUUAUCAUCAAAGACACACACAACGGCAUUUGCUCUAGCUACCGUCAUGCUAGGGGCCUGACGCCACGAGUAAGUACUCGUACAACGGACCCACAUGACGGAGGAGGGAGUAAUAUUGUAUUUGCUGAUGGCGUAUAACUCUGAACCAACCGCACAUGUGAACAUUGGUACACGUGGAGAAUAAGACGAGGGUAUUGGUACCAACAUAGUGUUUCAGGUAGAGUUCUGUUUCUUCGUCUUACCGAUGUUGUUGGUUAGGGUUUGGUCAGGUUUUAACCAGAGACUAAACCACGAGGUACGGGUUUUAUCGGGCAGCUGUAAGCAGACGUGAAGGACGUUUUCAUGGGUUUCAAGUUCCAAUCUAGCCACGUAGAGCUCCAUGGAUAAGAUGAGAGAGCAAAAGGUCUUGCAGACUAGGGAGAGUUUUGGAUAGUAAGAUUUCCAUAUUCGGGCUAGACAGUUUACAACUAUUUCUUCUGGAAGUGAUAACAACGACCGAGGAGAUGGAUUCUUCUUCUUCUUCUGCAGUUGUUCGACAUCGGAACUCAUAGCAGCUGAGAUUGUAACAAAAGUAAGAUCAAGCUUUGUAGAUUAUGAUAAAAUAAGAAUUAUCAUAUAGUGAUCUUAUGUUAAAAAUACCUCUUCGCCUUCUUGAGAUCAAACCAGCCUCGAGAUGUUGUUUCUUCUGUAUACUUCAUUAUUAAGGGUAUUAAUGGUGACCAAGGAACGAUGAAAAAUUAUCAAUUUCUUAAUGUUCUUGAAAAAAAUCAUCAUUCACAAGAAAUAGUUUUUUCUUCUCAUUCCCUACCAUUCCUUUUUUUUAGAGAAAUAAAGAACAAAAUUGUUCCUUGUUAAAUUUGAGAUGGAACAACCAUUUCCUUUCAUUCCUGCAAUUUUAUUCAUCUAUGUUCUUUUCCUAUUCGUUCCUCUUGUUUUCAGAAUGGUCACAGUCUUAGGUCUUUUAUAAAAACCUGCAUUCACAGUAUAUAUACCAUUUGUUUAACCUACUUGAAAACUGACCCAUUGACUUAAUAUAAGUCAAUGUCCGUCUUGAGAAGACAAAAGAGCCUUAUAAGAAGGCUUCAAACAAGGCCUAUUAUUGAGCUCUGGAAACUCAUGUGGUUCUAGUUUCUCACAAAGAAGCCCUCGUACGUCCAGAUAAGUUUGCUUGCGGGUUAAUUAAUUGACGUGUGAUCCAAAAUUUGAAAUGACUUUUUGUUUGUUUUGUUGAAAUGAGUCUAUGAUAGUUAAAGAAAUAAAGAUAAUUUCUGACAAUAGUUAAGAUCAAUUAAUUAAUAAUCUUAUCUUAUUUUGGAUUUAACACCAAAUUCACAGCACACGUACAUAUGUACUAGGUGUUUUGUCCGAAUAUGCGAGCAUAUUCAUUUGACUUUCAUCGAUAAGUUAUUGUUUAUGCUUUCAAAAAGUUUACACCGAACAAAAUUCAUUAACAUUUUUGAAAACUUUCACAUGUUAUAAAUAUAUUUAAAAAAUAUUUUAUAUACUACAUUUGUUGAUAAUAAGUAAAUCUUAUAAAUAAAAUUUUUCAAAUCACUGAAAUUUCCUUUUCGAUUAUACAACAUUCAACUUUUAUUUAAUUAAUAUUUAAUUAUACAUUUUGGUUUCUUAAUUUUUAAAAAUUUUAUGAUUGAAACAUAUUUUCAGAUAAUAACAGAUUAUAUAUGAUUUGUCUUUUAUUUUAAAAUAUAUUUCUAUCCUUUUAGCCAAUUUAUAUUAUAUUAAUAAAUUAUCUUAUCUAAUAAAUAAAUUCUAUAUAUAUUAAAAAGUGGCGUGUUCAAGUUGGGAUACCUCCUCUGAAUCCCGAUCUAUACUAUUAAGAACUCUCUUUCAGAAAAAUACUGAAUUUCAUAAUAGUGAAAUCCCAAAACUAAAGUUAAUACUAACAAAAAAAUCUGUGAAGAAUAUAGAUAACAUGAUUUACUGCAUGACUUCCUAAACCAUGAGAAAACUGCGGAUGCACAAUCUUUAUGUGUUCAUGUAACGAUACACAAUAAAACAAACAUUGGACUCUUAUUUAAGAGCUGGUUCUUAAUUUUUUAAUUAAAAAUUAAAAAAACGGUUUCUUAUAUUCCGUUAAAAACCUCAACCUAAGAAUUCCCAAUAAACAUGCUCUUAUAGUUGAUCAAAGGAAUGUCACUAGCCCAAACAAGAAAACAUAUGAAUUGGAACCCUAUGUACAACUGCACAAAAUGUACAAUCUUCCUCAAACUUCAUCAUCAGUGCGUUUUCUAAGUGCAAUCACCGCACGCCAACCAUAUUAAUAUUGACGAUCGGGAUGCACAAACUUGUCCCACAAUAUUAACUAUAUCAAUCAACAAUUUUCUGUACCGUAACGGUACCAUACAUUCUUUACCAAAAAGAAACACAUAGGUUUUUUAUACAUUAUUCCAUUUUUUUUUCUCGGAUAGUAAACAUAAUCCAUCUUCUCGUGGUUAUAAGGUAAACCUUACUUUGGAUAUAACCUCUAUUGUUUUAAUGGGAGAAUCGAGGAUCUAGCUCCCCCCAGUUUACUCCAUCUUCCAUUUUUUUUUCUCGGAUCGUAAACAUAAUCCAUCUUCUCGUGGUUAUAAGGUAAACCUUACUUUGGAUAUAACCUCUAUUGUUUUAAUGGGAGAAUCGAGGAUCUAGCUCCCCCCCAGUUUAAUCCAUCUUCCAUUUUUUUUUUCUCGGAUCGUAAACAUAAUCCAUCUUCUCGUGGUUAUAAGGUAAACCUUACUUUGGAUAUAACCUCUAUUGUUUUAAUGGGAGAAUCGAGGCUCCCCCCAAUAUAACCUCUAUUGUUUUAAUGGGAGAAUCGAGGCUCCCCUCCCCCCACCCCCCAGUUUAAGUCUUAGAGUCGAAAACCUCGCCCCAAGUUCAUAGAUUUAUCUGCCCCCAACCUCCGUUGACGAUUUAUAUUCAACUAGUUAAACAUUUCCUCUAAAUAUGUUGUUCUUCUACUAUUUUGUAGUCAUCAGCACUAAACAUAGACGAGAAGAAAAACCAUUAGAGAAAAAACAAGUUGCAAACUGAUUAAUAAAGGCUAAGCAAAGCUACCAAUAGUUUUAUAUAACCAAUGUUUAAACAAAUAAAUCUAAAAGCCAUUCCCGACAGAAAAAAAGUAGAUACAAUUGAUCAAAUCCGUAUCACGGAAGAACGCAAGAAAACGUAUGAACUGGGAACCGUAAGCACAACAUUAGACCACUCAACCUUCCCCCAAACUUGACCAUUUUGGCGCUUUUCAAGCGCAACCAAAGCACAACAAAUAGUUUUUUCUUCACAAUGCGCAAACUUGUCCCACAAGAUUAAAAGUUUCCCACAGUAUUCAACUGUUUUAAUCAAACCACGACGACAACUCCUAUUGAAUGAAGACAACCCCUUGACAUGUUUCCACUCGUUACCCUCUUUGUCAUACCACAUGCAACAUUCCCUACGACAAGAGUAAUUUAUAUUACCUACCAUACACCUACUGUCAUCCUCGCGUGCUUUUGCCGUAGCUUUCCACUUACGUGUUUUCGGAUCAUAGACAGAGUCUUUCUCGUCGUUGCUCCUAACGAGGAGCUUCCCUCGGAUAAUCUUUAUUUCUCUAAUCACUGAAGAGAACCGGAGCUCGUCUCCGGGGUCAGGUAAAGGCUCCCAUGUUCGAGUCUCUGUAUCGAAAACCUCACCCCAGCUUUUCGCGGAUUUAUUUGCAUUGCACCCUCCCAUUACGUAUAUCUUCCCGUGGAGUACGCAUGCAGCGGGAUUCACUCGAGAGACAGUCAUGUUAGGUGUGUUACGCCAUAUAUCUCUCUCUUUAUUGCGGACUAACAUGAACGGGGACGGGGGAUAGCGUUGUCUUAAUGCAUAUUUAUCUGAACCAACCGUACGGACUAACAAUGGUUCUCUACGAGCAUAGGAAGAGGGUACUUGUACCAAGGUAGCUUUCUUCUUCUUCAUAUUCUCUUCCUCGGUUUGAUAAGGUUUUAUCCAGAGGGUGAACCAUAAGGGAAGAGGACGGUCAGGAAGCUGCAAACAUAUAUAAAAUAACUUUUCUUGUGUUUUGUGGUAAGACCGUGCGUGGUUGAGGUUUCUAGAUAAGAUGAGAGAGCGAAAGGUCUUGGAGACUAGGGAGAGUAUAGGGUAGUAGGACAUGGAUAUGCGGGCCAAGCAGUUUAGUAUUAUUACAUCUGGAAGCGACGAAAACGACGGUGGAGAUGGAUUCGGUUUCCUCUUUUUCCACCGUGGUUCGACUACCGCAGAGGCGGCGGCUUGAACCGAAGAGUCUAUCAUUAUACUGUAUACUGUAUAGGCUAGCUAAACACACGAUUAGGUUAGGUACGUAAGUGAAUAAAUACCUUUGUUUUAUAUAUUGAAAACUCAUCCCUUGAUUUUUUAAUAUCUAGUCGAUCCGGUUUAGAAAAUUAAAACAUAAAGAGAACCGGUUUUUUAUUUCUUGUCAGCAAAAAGAAGCCGAUAUAUAGGGGUUUUAUAAGUUCUCCCAAAUUUUAGCUAAUUAGAAAAUAUGGAUUUUAAAAAUCCAAUGAAUCCAAAUACCACUUCCAAUGACGCUAUUUGAAACAUAAAAUUAAAAUAUUUCACAUUUUUAAAAUGAAAAUCAAACUGUUUGAAAUGAAAAAUAAAUUUUGAAAAUCAAAUUUUAUAAACUAUAUAUUUUAUAUAUUUCAUAAAACAAUAAAAAUAUCAAACUAUAGUAAUUUAAAAAAUAAAAUAUUAUUUUGAAUAAAUAUUUAAAAUAUAAUUUGUGUUAAAAAAAAACCUCUGGAAUUCCUCCAAAAACCUUUGAACUUGUAACAAAUUGUUUUAAGAUUACUCAAAUCUCAGUUUUUUUUUUAUUUACUCAAAUCUUAAAAUUUUCUCAAAUUCUUGAUUCAGUAAGCCCCUUAAGUUUUAGUUUUAUAAACCGGAUCGACUAGAUAAUUAAACAAAAUCAGGGGGGUUAGUUUUCAAUAUCAAAAACAAAAGUAUUUAUAAGCUUGAUAGUGUUUUUGGAAAGACCUAAUCGUGGGUUUACUUUACUCUAAUGGUAUACUCUUGGGUUCAAGCUGUCGCCUCUGCGGCUACAAGUCUCAUAGUCGAACCACCGUGGAAAAAGAGGAAACCGAAUCCACCUCCUCCACAGUCGUUUUUGUCGCUUCCAGAUGUAAUUAUUCUAAACUGCUUAGCCCGCGUAUCGAGGUCCUACUACCCUAAACUCUCCCUAGUCUCCAAAACCUUUCGCUCUCUCAUCUUAUCCAUUGACCUCAACCACGCACGCUUUCACCACCAAACACAAGAAGACAUUUUUUAUAUAUGUUUACAGCUUCCCGACCGUCCUCUUCCAACAUGGUUCACCCUUUGGAUAAAACCUGACGAGGAGGAGGUGAAGAAGAGAUCUACCUUUGUACAAGUGCCGUUUUCCUACAAUUCUCGAGAACCGUCGUCCUAUUGUACGGUUGGUUCAGAUCUCUAUGCACUCAGACAAAGCUAUCCUCCGUCCCCCUCAAUGUUUGUCCGCAACAAGAAGAGUGUUGUAUGGCGUAACGCACCCAACAUGACUGUACCUCGAGCGUAUCCCGUUGCGUGCAAACUAGAUGGCAAGAUAUAUGUAAUGGGAGGUUGCAAUGAUGACAAAUCCAAAAAAUCAUGUUGGGGUGAGGUUUUCGAUACAAAUACUCAAACAUGGGAAACUUUACCUAACCCUAAGGCUGAGCUCCGAUUCUCUUCGAUGAUUAGAGAAACAGGGAUUAUCGAAGGAAAGAUAUACGUUAGGAGCAUCGAUGAGAUAGAUUCUGUUUAUGAUCCAAAAACACGAAAGUGGGACGCUACAGAAAAAGCACUCGUGGAUGAUAGUAGGUCUAUGGUAAUGGUAGGUGAUUUAUAUUACUCUUGUCGUGCGAAAAGUUGCAAGUGGUAUGACACAAAUUGUGACAAGUGGAAACUAGUCAAGGGGUUGUCUUCGUUGAAUAAGAGUUAUUGUCGUCGUGGUUUGAUUGAAACAGUUGAGUAUUGUGGGAAACUCUUAAUCAUUUGGGACAAGUUUGCGCAGCCUCGUCGUUAUUGUCAUGAAAAGACUAUUUGUUGUGCUUUGGUUGCGUUUGAAAAGCGCCAAAAUGGUCAAGUUUGGGGAAAGGUUGAGUGGUCUAAUGCUGGGCUUACGGUUCCAAGUUCAUACGUUUACUUGCGUUAUUUAGUGAAUGUCUUAUAAAUUUAAUUCUUAUAACAUUGUUUAGAAUCUUUGGUAGCACCAACGAUUCAUAUAGAUCUAUUACCUAUUCUUUGGUAGCUUUUCUGAACUUUUAUUAAUUAGUUUGGUGUGACACUAUGCCACUUGUUUUUUUGUUUAUGUUUGUCUUUGUUUUUGUUUUUGUCUGUGCUUGGUGCUGACUUUAAAAUAGUAGAAGAGGAACAAAUGUAGAGGAAAUGUUUUCUUGUUGAUUUUAAAUCUAGUAAACUGAGGUUGGGCAUUGGCUGAGCUUUUAUAUGGGCAUUGGCUGAGCUAGAUUUCAUUUUUAUAUGGGUUAUAACGCAUCUAUUAUAGAUUAAAAAAAAAGUUACAUCUAUGAAUUUGGACCUAUGGCAUGUGUGUCAAAAGGUGGGAUCUGAACUAAAUUAUCACAAUAACAACGUGCACAUUAGGCCUACAAGCUUAUAUUUAUAGAUUCCACAUGGUUCAGUUGACCACCAUACCUCUUAAGUGGCUCGGCCACUGGUUGUGGGCAAAUGAAUCCAAGAAUUGGGAAGAGGUUUUCGACUUAAAACUCAAACAUGGGAAUCACUACGACAUUACCUGACCUGGCUCCGAACUAGUGCUACCAAAUUUAUAUUAGUGAUAAAUUUAAAAGUAAUGUUAGUAAAUAUGAUACAUAACUAAUAUAUAAAUAAUUUUUAAACAUAAAACAUUAUAAAUAUAAACUAGUUUUAUGUUUAUAUAGAUAACUUAUAGAUUUUUGAUAGUUUUAGUAUUUUAAUAACUUUAAGAUCCAAUCCGGUUACGUGAUCGAUUCAUGGUUAAACCAAUUAUUAGAUCUAGCCCGGUUCAUGGUUAAACCUGAUCCAAUCAUCGGGUCGGUCCGGUUUUAAAAACACUGAUAUGGAUCGAAAGAGAUUCUAAGUACUAAUUCUCUCUCUUUAUCGACAGACCGAUCUGAAGCUGGAUUGUGUUGUUUAUUAAUCCAAGGCUCAAACACUGUAACCGAGGCCCAAUAAGUUUUGUUAACUAUAAGGGCCCAAAAAGGAUAUAGCGUGUCAACCAACCCAAAAAAGUAAAUUACACUACCCAUAAAAAAAGAAGAGAUUUUGAGAACACGAAGACGAGCUUGGGCAACAAGAAAAAACAUUAGUAAAUUAAUCUUCUUUUUUGGCUUCUGACCAAGAAAAAAAAAAGAUUCUUUCAACAGAAGGAGAAAGUAGAGAUUUUUUUGUAGUCGAAUUCGGAAAAAAAUGGCUCUAAGCUUUGGAUUGAUUUGAAUUAAGAAAAACAAAAAUGUUUGCAGCUCGGCGUCUUCUUCUUUCCUGCAAACAAGGUGCGAAUCAAGCCGCCAGUUUUCUCCGAGGGUUAGUCUUUAUUCUUCUUUCUUAAACUCUAAUUCCUACUCCGUGAGGGGUUUUAACUUAGUUACUUCAAUAAAGCUUCGAUUUUUAUUUAUUAUGCUCUGGUGGCGUUUUGGGUUUUCUCGAAAAGUUUCGACCUUUAAACAUUGUAACGACUUUGAAGCAAAAAAAAUUGUAGAAGAAGGAUUCAAUCGGCCAAUUACAGUCAAUCGACAAGACAAGGGACGACCCAUGGAAGGACAGAUCUUAACCCUUUGCCUGUCGGAACAGCUCAGACUUUCUCUCGCUCGCGUGCUCGUUAUGCUGCUGUAAUAACUCUUUUGAAAAAAAAAACACUUUCACUUGUUUGUUUUUUUUUGGAGUUUUUGAUUACUCUAUAUUGCAGCCAGCACUUGCGCUUGGGUUUACUGGAUUCUUAGCCUUUCUUCAUUACAACGACGAGAGGAGAGCUGUGCCUAAAGGUAUGGUAUAGAGAGAUUCUUCAUUUGGUUUGAUAGGGGUGUUUCUAAGAUCUUGUCUCUGCUUCCUACGUUUUGCAGGUCAACCAAGCAGCAGCAAUAGUAGCGGUUGUGGCUGUGGUUCUAAUACAACAGUCAGAGGUCCUAUUAUAGGAGGUCCAUUCACGCUUAUGAGUACACAGAACAAGGUUGUUACUGAGAAAGACUUGCGUGAUAAAUGGGUGUUGCUCUACUUUGGAUACUCGUUUUCACCUGAUGUUGGACCUGAGCAGUUGAAGAUGAUCUCUAAAGCUGUUGAUAAACUAGGUUUGUUCAUCAAUUUAGUUAUAAAAAUGUUAUCUUUUUACUAAUGAUGUCUUGUCUUGCAGAGUCUAAUCAUGACAAGAAGAUUCUGCCUGUCUUUGUCACUCUUGACCCUGUACGAGAUACACCUUCUCAUCUACAUGCCUACUUGAAAGGUCCGUGUUUUAGCUAAUUUACAAAUUAUCAGACGUUGUGUUGCUCAUGACUUUUGUUUAUUUGCAGAGUUUGAUGAUAGAAUACUUGGAUUGACUGGAUCGGCAAGUGCAAUGAGGCAAAUGGCGCAAGAGUAUCGUGUUUAUUUCAAGAAGGUUCAAGAAGAUGGAGACGAUUACCUCGUUGAUACUUCUCACAACAUGUAAGGAAACCUUUUUUCCUAUACCAAAUCAAAAUUAUUGUUUGUUCAUAAGAAAAGAAAGAGAGUUAAAAUGUUCAUUGUUGGGUGUAUAGGUACUUGUUGAAUCCGAAGAUGGAGGUUGUAAGAUGCUUUGGAGUUGAGUACAAUCCAGGUGACCUCUCACAAGAGGUUCUUAAAGAAGUUACUUCCCUUUCACAGUGACCCAUUUUGACCAAACACUAAAGAGAGAUGUUCACCGAAUGAAGAAACCAUAAGAUGUUUUUGAAUUUAUUUCUUAAUUGGUCAAAUUUUAUUAGACGAUUUUGCUAGUCCUUUGGUCAUGCAACAAUGGUUUGGUUUGGCCGUUUGGGCGAGAUGAUCUGAUAUAGUUGCAAUUGAUUCAUCUUCCUUCUUUCAGUGUGGGCUCAAGCAGAUGGGUCUUUUCUUUCUACGGUUCUUCAUGGGCUUAUGCUGUAAAAACAGUACUAGAGUUGGAUCCGCGCGCCCGCGCGGAAAUUCAUUUUUUCUUUUGAUUCCAUUUUUAUUAUUUUUGGUAAAAUAUGUUUUGGUAUAGUAUUGAUAGGGCAAGCUAAGUUACUGAUUCAUCUGUUGUUGUUGUACAUUACAAACGUCUACAGUUAGAACCAUUUCAAGCGACACUUUCUCACAGGAGGUGUUUUGUUUCCACGUAUGUAAGCAUUUAACUUGAACUCACCAUGAUGUUUUAAAAAGUUUGAGAUUUUUGAGAAAAGUAAAAAUUGUUUUCUUAGACAUGUUUAGUUUGUUUUGUGAAUAAAAAUGCGCUUAAACAUAGCAUAAAUGAGAUUAUAUAUUUUUUUGUUUCAAGUGUGUAGGUUAAAUAGAAAAUCUUAACUAAAUCAUGAUUUGAACGUAUUGAAAACAGAAUAUACGUUUUUGAUAUUUUUUAAUAUCCAGUCCUUAAAGGUUUAUCAUUUUUUGUUAGCUAAUAUAGGAAAUCUUGAUUUACUAACAAAAUAUAAUAGCAUCCAAUAAGAAUGUAGUUAAAAAGGUAUAUUCGUAUAUUUAGUUAAGUAAAACUUGAUUCACACGUUUUGAAAACAGAAUAUGCAGAUAUUUACGUGGUAAGAUUAAUAUGGUUUUAGUAGAUGUGGUUGUUUAAAAAUAGGGAAGGUAUUUGGAAUGUAAUUGAUUUUAGUAAAAUACGAAAUUAUUAGUUUGUUUCUGUGCAUCGAAAAUAUAUGUAGAUACUAACUAACCAAAUAAAGUAUUUUAAGUAUAUUUUAUAUUUUAUACAAACCUACUGUUUGAUUCGGAAUUUUUUUGACGAAACCAGAAACAAACCCGACAAUCUAAUCACUGUUUAUUUUAUGUUAUAGGUUUUAUUCAAUUGGUGUAUAAUAGUAGUCAAUCGAAUUAUGAUAGAUUGGUAUUGAUACAGCAUAGAAAACUAAACCUAGGUAUAGUUGGUUAUGAAACACGUUAAUUUCGGGUGAGUAUGUAAAUUUAGUUAAGCUGGUUUAGUAAUAUUGUAAAAUGAUGCUGCUAAAAGGCAGUGGCAGAUUUUGUAAUAUUGAACAUGAAAGAAUGGUUAAUUACCAGUUGAAACACGUUUGUUUUUAUUUCUGCAGACUAAAUUAAACCAAGGCAAUAUUGGAUAACAAACCACGUUAUUUUAGGUGCACUCGGUUUUGAAAAAUUUAUUAUGCAGGGUUAGUAAGUUAAAACGGUUGUGUUUUAAGGAAGUGGCAUAGAAGGGUAAUUAUUCAGGAAAACUCAGGGUCAAAUCUUAUUUGUACUCCUGUUUUAAUAGUUUAGAUUAUACAACUAGUAAUCAACUAAUCACCACUGAUUACAUUUAAUAAUCCCCAUAAACUCAUCACUGUCCCCUCAUUGUUCGAGACAUGAGAUGGCUAGUGAUAGACCUACCCCUGCAUCAUAGAAAAUUGUUCGAGACAUGAGAUGGCUAUGCUCCAAAUUAUGGUGAGUUGGGUUUAAUCAAAUUUCAUUAAGGAUGGUAAGGUAAUCUUACACUUUUUUGUUUAAAGAAAAUGGAAAAGAAAUUGAUUACAUUUUUUAACUGAUAAAGAAAUGAAUUUUUAAGAGAUGAUUAUUUGAGAUUUUUUUGUCAACGCUCGAGUUGUCUUACCAUUGUGCUGGGCUUUCUGUUUCCGGGAAGUUGUCUUGCAUAUAUUUAAGUCAACGGGAUCAGAAGUUCCGUGUUGGUAUGUAGAUAGAGUCUCUUUGUUUGUUGUUAAUUCUUCCUCCUCACAAGAAAGCUCUACGAUCGUGAUCUUCUCUUGAACAUACUAAUGGAUUCUUAUUUUUCCCGUACCAAUGUUACUGCUUCUGCAAUAUGCUUCUACGCCCUUUUGGGUACAAUAUUUUUCAACAGGAAAUCAAGAUCACAUCAAGAAAACACAAAAAUGGCUUCUUCUUUAUCUCUUUUGGCACCUCUGUCUUCUUUGCCUCGUAAUUGGAUACAUCAUGUCUUUCCAAGCUUCCACGGGGCAGAUGUCCGCACAAACUUUCUCAGCCACGUUCUCAAGGAGCUCAGAAGCAAAAGAAUCAACUCAUUCAUUGACGAUGAUAUGGAGAGGAGUAAGCUGGUCGGUCUUGAGCUCAUAGAAGCUAUUAGAGGAUCGAGGAUUGCUAUUGUCUUGCUCUCGAGGAACUACGCUUCGUCUACAUGGUGCUUGAACGAGCUGGUGGAGAUCAUCAAGUGCAGACAAGAGUUUAGUCAAACAGUAAUCCCCCUUUUCUAUGAAGUGGAUCCAACUGAUGUAAAGAAACAGACCGGUGAUUUUGGGAAGGUCUUCCGAAAAACUUGUAAAGGAAAAGCAAAGGAAGACAUCCAAAGGUGGAAAUGUGCUUUGACGGAAGUGGCUCAAAUCACAGGUUACCAUUCAACAAACUGGUUAGUUGUCCUCCCCCCCACAUGUUCUUAAUCUUUCUAAGACAUGAACAACAUAUACACGUUAUACGUGUAUAUGGGAACUUAGUUUCCCAAAACAGAUUUGUGUCAAAAUCCUUAUGAUCGUAACUAAAAGUAGAAAAAGAAUUAUUCUAACUCGAGAAAGAAACAAUAACUUUAUUUAUCUGAGAAAAAUAUGAUACGUUUACAAGAUAAUGUCCAUGUCCUUAUAUAGACAUGAAACAAUACAAAUGAAAGAAUAUGAAAGGUAAGAGAAAUAACUCUUCUUUCUUAAAACCUUUAAUAUAAUAACUAUUUUCUCUUGUAAUGACAUACAAACUACCUUUUACACAUCUAUCUAUCUAUAUAUAAAAUUGGGUUUACUUCUCUCCUAGACUGCACACAUAGGCGGACACAUCACUAAUUCGAGUCUUGAGAAGCCGACACGUGUCCACAUCCAAAAUAUAACGUUUCAUUAACUUGGAGUUGGAGAUCGCGUGAGCUUUUGUGUAACUCAUAAACAUACAUGAAUUAUCGUGUGGGCUUUAGAUCAAAUUAAAAAUAAUAUUUUUAACAGUAUAUUUUAAUAGUUUAAUAAACAAAUUAUAUCGUGCUCUUCGUCUUUUGAAUACGUCAUAAAAACAACUCUUAUGAUAUUGUUGAUAUUCAGUCUGAUCAUAUACCAGUAUGAAAAAUUAAUGUAAAUCAACAUAACCGAGUACGAUGAUUUUAAUUGGAUUUACAUGUGUCGGUCUAUAUGGAAUCCCUUGUUCCACCACAUCCACAGUUUUCUGGUCUUGAAGAUGGUUGUCAUCUUAAUAUGCUAUAAAUCGUAUUUAUCCCAAUCAAAUAUAGGGAUCCCUUGCUGCAAUGUUCCUUCCAUCGUUUUUGUUUCUUUGUGAUGUUACUUGUGUGAUUUGUGCUUUUUGUGUCCCUUAAAUCAACAUGGCUCUGAUACUAUGUAAAUAGGAACUUUGUUUCUCAAAAAAAAAUUGUAUCACAAUCCUUAUAACUGUAACUAAAAAUAGAAAAGGAAUUUUAUUCUAACUUGACAGAGAACCAAUAACUUUGUUUUUCUGAGAAAAAUAUGAUGUGUUUACAAGACAAUGUCCAUGUCUUUAUAUAGAUAUGAAACAACACAAAUGAAAGAGUAUGAAAGGUAAGAGAGACAUAACUCUUCUCUUUUAUAACCUUUAAUAUAAUAACUACUUUUUCUUGUAAUCCUUGACAUAAUAACUACCAUUUUACACAUACAAAAUAAACUAAACAAUGUCACUUUUGAGAUUGGGACACAAUUAUUUGACAAAGAGACACAACUUUUACAUACACUAUUUAAUAAUAUAUUAGCAAAGUUAAUUAUAAACCAACAAUGCGUAGCUUUUAAACAACAGCCACCCUGGAUCGAAAUAUUGAAUAAGUGUUGGUUUCUUUCUUUGAUAGAAUAUUUGAAUAAUAUGUGCAAUUUUUUCAUGACUAUAUGACGGAGUUUUUGAUCAUCCCCUUAUUCAGGAAGACUGAAGCAAAGAUGAUUGAAGAUAUUGCCACUGAAGUUUCGAACAAGUUAAACCUUUCUGCACCAUCCAGUGAUUUUGACGACUUAGUUGGGAUGGAAUCUCAGAUGAGAAGAAUGAAACCAUUGUUGCAGCUUGAUUCAGAUGACGUGAGAAUAAUAGGGAUUUGGGGUUCGCCUGGGAUUGGUAAGACCACCAUUGCUAGAUCUCUAUUCCACGAAUACUCCCAAGAUUUUCAGAUGAGUGUCUUUGAAGAUAAUAUCAAAAGAAAGUAUGCGGUACCGUCUUGUUCCGAUGACUACAGUGUGAAGUUGGAUUUUCAGAAGCAGUUUAUGUCUCAACUAACCAAUGAGACGUGUGUCAGUAUUUCACAUUUGGGAGUCGUCAAAGAUAGGUUGAAAGACAAGAAAGUUCUUGUUGUCCUUGAUGAUGUUGAUCAUUUAGUACAGCUGGAAGCUAUGGCAAAAGAAACUUAUUGGUUUGGUCCUGGGAGUCGGAUUAUAAUCACAACACAGGAUCAAAGGGUUUUAAAAGCAAGUGGGAUCAACUAUAUACAUAGGGUGAAAUUACCAUCAAAAGAUGAGGCUUUUCAAAUGUUCUGCAUGUAUGCUCUUGGUCAGAAAUACCCUAAGGAUGGUUUCAAGGAGCUUGCUUGUGAAGUUAUUAAUCUUGUAGGUUAUCUUCCGUUGGGGCUAAGAGUUAUGGGCGCCUAUUUUCGGGGAAUGUCCGAGAAAGUUUGGGCAGAGGCACUACCAAGGUUAAAGGCACACCUUUCCCGAGAUAAAGAAAUUACCAACAUUUUAAAGUUUAGUUACGAUGCCUUAAAUGAUGAAGAUAAAAGUUUAUUUCUUCAUAUAGCCUGCUUUUUCAAUCUUGAACCAUUUGGUAUGGUGGAAAGAUGUCUAGAAACAUGUUUUGAGGAUGUGAGACAAGGGCUUGACGCCUUAUAUGAAAAAUCUCUCAUAUCUAGCGUAUCAGGACGGAUAAAGAUGUCUAAGUUGCUAGUCCAACUAGGAAGACAAAUUAUGCGAAAAGAAUUUGUUAGUGAACAUGGAAAACGCCAGUUUUUGAAUGACGCAAGGGAUAUUGGUGAAGUACUUAGUGACGAUAAAGCAGUAAGUUUUGAGAUUGUAUUUUCAUUGCAGUGCUCUGUACAAAUGUGAGAUUAUUUAAUAACUAACAAUCCUCUAUUUAUGUUUUAUUGGGUUGCUUUACAGGGUAAUAGCAGUGUCAUAGGAAUAAAUCUUGAGUGGAAGAAUGACAUAACAAGGACGAGUGAAAGAGCCUUCGAAAGAUUGCCUAAUCUUCAAUUCUUAAAAAUUCAUGGUUAUGGCAUCAAACCUCAAAGUAUGAGCUACAUGUCCCAAAAACUUAGAGUACUAAUUUGGUUGAGCUACCCCAUAUCAUGUUUUCCUUCAAGUUUUAAUCCAGAGUUCCUUGUCGAACUAUACAUGACGAAUAGCAAUCUUGAGAAAUUUUGGGAAGGGAUUAAAGUAAGUAGUAUGUUAUUUUUGAAAAUAAAGGCCCUAUCUAACCAAUUUUCUUAUUUGUGUAAUACUAAUUGUGUCAACUUGUUGUUCUUGUGUGCUUCAUUUACAGCCGCUCAACAAUCUAAAGCUGUUGGAUUUGAGUGGUUCGGAAAGAUUGAAAGAGCUUCCUGAUCUCUCCACUGCCACUAACCUAUAUGAAUUGAAUCUCAGCUCUUGCUCACGUCUGGUGGAACUCCCUUCCUCUAUGAGAAACCUUCAUAGAUUAUCGAGAUUGGAAUUAAUGAAUUGCUCAAUGUUAGAGGUUGUUCUGGCCAACAUCAACUUGGAAUCUAUAGAGGAACUCGAUCUCUCAGAUUGCUCUUUGUUGAAAAGUUAUCAUGAGAGUUCUACAUACAUUGAAGAGCUUGAUCCAUGGAGAAAAUCUCGUCUACAAAAGCUAGUACUAAGUGGAAUGAAGAAGCUGGUAUCACUCCCACAGCUACCAGAUUCGCUAUUGUUCUUAGAUGCAGAAGAGUGUGAGUCCCUGGAGAGACUAGAUUGCUCCUUUCGCAAUCCAGAUAUUCGUCUCAACUUCCGUCACUGCUUCAAACUAAAUCAAGAAGCUAGAGAUCUCAUCAUCCAGACACCGACUAAUCAAUAUGCAGUCUUUCCCGCUGAAGAAUUUCCUCAGUGCUUCUUCACUUACCGAUCUCCUGGAAGUUCCGUAACUGCGAAGUUGAAUCAAUUGCAUGUUGGCAAAUCAACCAAAUUUAAGGCUUGCAUCAUAUUUGAUGGUGGGGACGAUAGCCAUUGGGGACCUGUCUGUUGUUGCAUCACGUCUGGAGGAAAUGCUCUCACUUACUAUACUAAAAAUGUAGAAGCAUUUUUUCUGGGGCAUCUAUACGCAUUCGAGAUUGAGGUUGAAACAGAGGAUGUCACUUCCACGGAGCUUCUUUUUGAUUUUUACAUUGUCUAUAUGCCGCCGUACAGUUCCAGAAAAUGUAAGAUAAAAGAAUGUGGGAUACUCCAACUCCUGGAGGUCCCUUUAUUGAGCUCCAGAGAUGUCGUUGAAGAUUAUGAGCCUUCGCACGUUGAGGGCUUCGGGUAUGGCUCUGGAGAAUUUGAACCUUCAUACAUUGAGAGAUUCGGAUAUGGUUCUGAAGAUUAUGAACCUUCAUACAUUGAGAGCUCUGGAGAUGAGGAUGAAGAUUAUGAACCUUCCGACUCUGGUUAUCUCACUGUCUGAUAGUUGCGCAAUCGAUUCAUUGUCUUCCUUUUCAGGGUGGGCUCAAGCAAAUUGGCUUCGUUACGUUCUAUGGUUCUUUAUGGGCUUAUACUGUAAAAACAAUAUUGGGCUCUCUCCCUACAUUUCAAGUUUGUUGCAAAGUAUUUUCAGAAAAAUAAACAUGAAAAGGGACCAUCUGACCGACUGCCGACUGACCCCAUAUAUAGGUACUAAAUUUAUUUUGGUCAGCAAAUGUAAGAGACAGUUCAGUAAUUUAUGAACAUGAACGUGGCAUCAUUUCCCCAACGGAUUACUGAUGCAUACAAUUAAAUUUAAUGUUAUCGUGUUCAUUUCUUAAGAUUACAUAAAUACUAUCCACAUUGAUCGGUUCGACUCAAGACCGAGUCGGAGACGAAUCAAAUAAUGAUAUGACUCCAUUAACGAGCGAAUUAUCCUAUAAAUCACUCACUAAUUACGGAUUAAAGGAUGGAAAAUAGCUAGAAAGAUUUAUUUAUCAAAUCAUAUCAUUAAAGGCCACAUUACACUCAUAAGACGACAGCAAACAAACAAUACGAAAGACGACCUUAUGAAUCACACACAUUCUCAUCACUCAGAUGACCCAAGAAAGCUGUUUCCGGAUCUCCGACCCGACCCGACUAACCCCAUCCCUAAGCGACACGGGACAAUUGUUCCUCACGGCGGUAAGCUCAUAAGGAGACGUAUCGGUGGCGAGCCACUGCUCGAUCUCGAAGUUCUGCGUGGAGCACUGCGCGUGAACUCCAGCCGUCGAAACCUCGACGUAAUUAACGUACCAGCCGUGGUGAUCGCCGGAGCCGUCGGAGGUUAGGUUCAGAGAGCAGAUCGGACUAGGCAAACACGGCGCUCUUCCACUGAAAAUGUCGAGGUUGCUUCUCUCGAAGUAGUUGUAGUCAGGGCCCAUUAGUCCACCCCAAGCCUCUAGGUUCUUGAUCCCGAUGUAGUCACCGUACUUGUCGUAGAUUCUAGCGCUGAUGAUCGAGUCGGUUCCGGCUUUCCAGAUUGACCCGGUUCGGAGGUAGAAUGUGUAGACGCAGUCCGGUUCAUCGUCCUGUGGAAAUAAUCGGAAGAACCUUCAUACAUUGAGAGCUCUGGAGAUGAGGAUGAAGAUUAUGAACCUUCCGACUCUGGUUAUCUCACUGUCUGAUAGUUGCGCAAUCGAUUCAUUGUCUUCCUUUUCAGGGUGGGCUCAAGCAAAUUGGCUUCGUUACGUUCUAUGGUUCUUUAUGGGCUUAUACUGUAAAAACAAUAUUGGGCUCUCUCCCUACAUUUCAAGUUUGUUGCAAAGUAUUUUCAGAAAAAUAAACAUGAAAAGGGACCAUCUGACCGACUGCCGACUGACCCCAUAUAUAGGUACUAAAUUUAUUUUGGUCAGCAAAUGUAAGAGACAGUUCAGUAAUUUAUGAACAUGAACGUGGCAUCAUUUCCCCAACGGAUUACUGAUGCAUACAAUUAAAUUUAAUGUUAUCGUGUUCAUUUCUUAAGAUUACAUAAAUACUAUCCACAUUGAUCGGUUCGACUCAAGACCGAGUCGGAGACGAAUCAAAUAAUGAUAUGACUCCAUUAACGAGCGAAUUAUCCUAUAAAUCACUCACUAAUUACGGAUUAAAGGAUGGAAAAUAGCUAGAAAGAUUUAUUUAUCAAAUCAUAUCAUUAAAGGCCACAUUACACUCAUAAGACGACAGCAAACAAACAAUACGAAAGACGACCUUAUGAAUCACACACAUUCUCAUCACUCAGAUGACCCAAGAAAGCUGUUUCCGGAUCUCCGACCCGACCCGACUAACCCCAUCCCUAAGCGACACGGGACAAUUGUUCCUCACGGCGGUAAGCUCAUAAGGAGACGUAUCGGUGGCGAGCCACUGCUCGAUCUCGAAGUUCUGCGUGGAGCACUGCGCGUGAACUCCAGCCGUCGAAACCUCGACGUAAUUAACGUACCAGCCGUGGUGAUCGCCGGAGCCGUCGGAGGUUAGGUUCAGAGAGCAGAUCGGACUAGGCAAACACGGCGCUCUUCCACUGAAAAUGUCGAGGUUGCUUCUCUCGAAGUAGUUGUAGUCAGGGCCCAUUAGUCCACCCCAAGCCUCUAGGUUCUUGAUCCCGAUGUAGUCACCGUACUUGUCGUAGAUUCUAGCGCUGAUGAUCGAGUCGGUUCCGGCUUUCCAGAUUGACCCGGUUCGGAGGUAGAAUGUGUAGACGCAGUCCGGUUCAUCGUCCUGUGGAAAUAAUCGGAAGAGAAAUUAGAAAAAGAAUAAAUAUAUGAAAACCUGGUAAAUAGAGAUCGAGGAAGUUACGGCGAAGGCGACGGCGGAGA
rnacentral:lncRNA from 1 species